UCGAAUGUCACAUCUUUACUAUAUAAUCAGAGUUUUGUACAAAAUAAAUAAAUAAUUACAUUAUAUGGAGACAACGGUCCAGCAACCCAAAGUUGACUGGGAGACGACGACCUAGACCUCUCACGAACACAUCGCAGCAUCCUCCACGCGCCUCAUCCUGUGGUACCUGUUCUUGACCUGUGGGGGGUGUGAGACAGCAAGAGUGAGCUCACAUACGUUCAUCGCUCAACAAGUUGUGGGGAAUAAUGUGAAUGAACUCGCCAAAGGUGGGAGUUCAUGUGAAGUGUAAGGCUUACCAAAGAGGAUGGUUAGAGCUGAGCAUUGCUUUUAAAGUUGGUCAAAAUUUUAUUAGCAAUUACUAAGUAUAAGUAAAUACCAACCCAAUUAAGCAGUAGAACCAAAGUAACAACAUCACCUGCGAUGCAAUGCAUAUGACAAAUUGAAUUUAGUUCCAUAAAUUAAUCAUGUGAGGGUCCGAGCUGCUCAUGACCGUGAGCACGGCUAGUAUACCAGUUUUACACUCUGCAGAGGUUGCGCAUCUUUACCCACAAGUCAUGUUACCCAUCUGCCAAGGGAUCGCGACUUCCCAUACACCUCUACCGAGGAGGCGAGGCAGGGUAACACUACGAGGCCUUUACAAAGUUCCACUAGCUUCAGAAAACCCGCUACAGUUUAUAGGAAGCUCCAAUGCAGGAAUCCCUUGCAGGACCGCCAUCGCAGCAAAAUCCUCCCGAGGGCCUCCCUACACUGACCACUCCCCUACUGCCCUUGCCCCUUUCGGGUAAGGUAGUCCUCCACUAGCUUUCCUAAUUAAUCAGCCAAGGGCGUCCCAUUAUACCCUUGUGGUAGCACUGUUUUCCCGGGUGGUCGCUCCAUGUUCCAAUUAACAUAAUGAUCUUAUCAUGAACAGUAAAUAACAACGGAUAACAAAAGUAUAAUCUUGAAUAAUGUAUCUUCAUACCCAAAACCACAUAAAGCACUAGCAAGUACUACCCAAAAAGUUCAGUGGUAAACAAGGUAUAAAGAUAAUCAAACUAGGGUAACCUAUUGGGUCCCAUCAAAAUUAACCUAUGUAGAUCAUUAUGAUUAAUCAGAACAUGAGUAGGUAAAAAGAAGUGAUCAAGGGCACAACUUGCCUGGGACUUGAGAUUCCAGGUACCAGGAUGAUCUUCGGAUGACACGUGACCUCGCACUAGUCGUAGCAAUACAGACAAACAUGGUGUAGGCAAAAUUAACAUCACACCAAACAUGUAAACAAAAUACAUAAUAAUAAUCUACACAUUAAAAUAAGAUUCUAGGAACAGGAAUCGUUAAUUUUGGAGUUAUAGAUUUUAAGUUAUGGAUUUUAAAAGGUUUUAUGUGUUUAAAAUAAGAUUAAGUGUGGGAUUAAUUUUAUUACUGUGGUUAUGAUAAAACAGAGACACUAAGUGCUAGAGAAUAAAAUUACAAAAUUUUAGGAACUGGAAUGAAGUAAUUUAGAGUUCAUAUGCAUUUUCUAUGAAUUAUUGAAGUUCCAGCAAUUAUUUUCCUAUUAAAAAUCUAUUUUCUAUUUCAUUUAUUCAAUUUAAACGAUUUCUAGACUAGGCCUCAUUUUCCAGAAAACCCAGGGGCUAUUACAGAAGAAUUCCUGAGACUCAGAACCUAGCUAAGUGGACGGCGGGUUCAUUUACAAAAAGAACAGGGGCUCUUUUGCAAUUGAUCGGUCGCGAAGGGGUAUCAGUGGUUUCUGGCCGUUAGAUCACCAACCGAUGGUUAGGAUUAGAUCACUACGGUAAUGAAACGGUACGCAGUGCAGACCAUCAGAUUCUAGAUCGACGCACACGAUUUAAAAUGUGGACCCGAAAUCGUGGCGCGGACGAUCACCAUCCGACGGUUCAACUACGGUCGCGAACCGAUCCCCCAUCCUCUAAUCGUGGCCCUUGCUUUCAGAUCAAGCGACCCAGACACCACCCAUGCCCCCCCGGCGGCGCAGGCCACUACGCCAGACCCACCCCGGCGGCGGCCAUGGCCGGAGUUCGCCAUUAACGCCCACCAGGCUUCAAAGCGUGAUCCGGAUGGCUUAUAUGCGUAGCCCUAUCAACUUCUAACUUGAUUACGACCCUUUCUUCACAGGAUUUCGCACAUAGAGCACCGGCCGCAGCACCUGGCGGCAACACGGCGGCGCCCAUGACCGGAACUCACCACGCCGGCCCCCAACGCUCCAAUUCUUACGCGAACGAGCGAGGUUGAUCGAGCGAAGUCUAGGAAGUUCUCGUACCUUGGAUCGACGAGUCUGGGGACGAGUACCACCGGACCGCGGAGAAAUCGCACCAAUUCACCCAGUCCGGCGAGCAAUUUCCCAAUUCCUAUACGGUUCAUGCGCCGAGCCCAAGUUGACAAAGACAACCACACGCGACGGCGAGUCCCGCGAGCUCACGCCCGAGGACGAGGCAGCGGUGCGGACGGACUUCACCGUUCUCUCUUCUCUCUCAUGUUUCUCUUUGUGUGCUCAGCGAUACGGAUCACGGCGGCCCUCCCUUUCUUCGCAUACUCAGCUCACCGCACCCCCAAUACGCGGCUGCAACGGCGUAAUAAGUCACGAUCCUAUUUAUAGUUGAGGGCGGAGUCACUAUGACCGAUCCCCGCGCUGAGAAGGUCGGUUGCGAAGGAUUCGGGCAGAGCCUAGACGUCUGGUCGCGA
rnacentral:lncRNA from 1 species